GAGACCCGCUCGACGAUAUCUCCUCCUCCAACGAGAACGAGAGUAAGAGAGAGAGAGAGAGAAAGAGAGAAGAAGAGAGGGAGCUUGGCUCGAGGAGAGGAGUUUGGGUCGUUCUAGAAGCGGAGAAGAGAAACGACGCGGACGAGAGGUGACGCAACGUCGGAGGCAGGUUCACCGGAGAGAGAAACUGUGAACCUGAAACAGGCUUCGAGGAGGGCAACAGCAUCUCUCAAGGACGUCUACGGGAAGCAAGAGACGGCUAGGCUAACGUAACGGGUCCUGUUUCGUCGAGGGACGGAUUCUUCGAAGAAACGUCACUGUUUUCGUCUUGGUAACACCGAUAACGAACGAGAAAUAUAAAUAACAAAUUACAAAGUA